rnacentral:rRNA from 1 species
GCUCAGUAACACGUAGUCAACCUACCCUUGGGACGGGGACAACCUCGGGAAACUGAGGCUAAUCCCCGAUAGGUGAGGAGGCCUGGAAUGGUUCUUCGCUGAAAAGGCGUUGAAACCAUGCUUUUCAACGUCGCCUAAGGAUGGGGCCGCGCCCGAUCAGGUUGUUGGUGGGGUAACGGCUCACCAAGCCUAUAACCGGUACGGGACGUGAGAGCGGGAGCCCGGAGAUGGGCACUGAGACAAGGGCCCAGGCCCUACGGGGCGCAGCAGUCGCGAAAACUCCGCAAUGCGCGAAAGCGUGACGGGGCUACCCCGAGUGCCGUCCGCUGAGGAUGGCUUUUCCCCGGUGUAAUGAGCCGGGGGAAUAAGGAGAGGGCAAGUCUGGUGUCAGCCGCCGCGGUAAUACCAGCUCUCCGAGUAGUAGGGACGAUUAUUGGGCUUAAAGCGUCCGUAGCCGGCUUAGCAAGUUUCCUGUUAAAUUCAGCGACCUAAUCGUCGAGCCGCGGGAGAUACUACUAGGCUAGGAGGCGGGAGAGGCCGACGGUAUUCCCGGGGUAGGGGUGAAAUCCUAUAAUCCCGGGAGGACCACCAGUGGCGAAGGCUGUCGGCUAGAACGCGCUCGACGGUGAGGGACGAAAGCUGGGGGAGCGAACCGGAUUAGAUACCCGGGUAGUCCCAGCUGUAAACGAUGCGG